GCUUCCUUGGCUCAGUUGGCUAGAGCGCAGGUCUCAUAUUUCGCAUAUGAGUAACUUAAUAGUUAUGUAAUCCUGAGGUCGCAAGUUCGAGCCUUGCAGGGAGCA